GCUAGAAAGGUCAUUCCCCCGUCGUAAAGAGAGUGCUUUCGCCGCCAUCCCGCUCCUGGGCGAGCUCUUCAGGGCUCUGACCACGCAGGCGAGGAUAUCGACGGUUGCCCACCCACCACACCCGUGAGGUGUUCAGCGAUGGACUCCGACGACGAGGAGGCGUUCGCGGCUCUAAUGGAGGAGGAAGCCGACGCCGACGCCAACGACGAAGAGCACCUCAUGAUCCUCGCCGAUCUGACCAGCCUGUUCGUGGAGAAUGCAAAGCCGCGGCGAUGUGACCCGGCGUCGGGCCACCGCAAGAGCAAGCAGGGGAAUCGAAUAUGGAUUGUAUUCCUCAGUAUGCAGGGUCCUUUUGCAGUCGUUGAUCAUUAGCUACGGACAACAUGAGCAACCGGUGCAUUAUUAAGUAGUUAUUUCCGUGACAUGGUUUCACGUCUAGAAAGAAUAUUCUUCUACAUGGAACAAACUCUUUCCAUUCUACUAACACAUGAAUAGCUGCCAAAUGUAUAACCGACACCCUCGCAUUCCGGCACAUGGGCUCAACCAAACACGCUCUUGAUUUGUCUACCAAGCACAUCCUCCAUCAGGAAGAAUGUAUGAACGGGCACGAUCUGUGUUUCUGUACAUAGUCCAUCUUAUACAAUUAUAAAAAUUGCUGUGGCGACU
rnacentral:lncRNA from 1 species